ACCGCCGGGCGGCCACGGGCCCGCCUGGCCGCCUGCCUAGGCCGACUUUUCAGUUCUCGCUCUCCAGCAUCCAAACGCAUUCUCUCUCUCCCCUUGUCGUCAAGGUUUUUCUGUGUUGAAAUGAGACUGAACAUAGUGGAACAAAAACAAAUUUCACGUGAAAAAUGCGGUCCAAGUGUUUGGAAUUGCAGCAAGAUUUCUUUUUGAAAGCUUAAAUGUCGGGAAGCAAAGUGUUGCUAACGUAUAAGCGAAAGCGGCAAUCAAGAACAGAUCCUGUACAGGGACAUGAGUGCCGUAAUUCACUUUUUGUUGCUUCUGAUGAUACUUCUUUAAGCAAACCACUAGACUUGCAAGUUAAUUUGAUUGAUAAGCGUUCAUCAGAACAUUGCAACAGAAAUUCUGCGGUGAGAUUUUAGAAAGAUGGAACCUGUUCACUUUUUUUA